rnacentral:rRNA from 1 species
AAUGAACGCUGGCGGCGUGCCUAAUACAUGCAAGUCGAGCGAACAGAUAAGGAGAUUGCUCCUUUGACGUUGGCGGCGGACGGGUGAGUAACACAUGGGUAACCUACCUAUAAGACUGGGAUAACUUCGGGAAACCGGAGCUAAUACUGCAUAACAUUUCGAACCGCAGGGUUCUAAAGCGAAAGAUGCUUUUGCUAUCACUUAUAGACGGACCCGCGCCGUAUUAGCUAGUUGGUAAGGGAACGGCUUACCAAGGCGACGAUACGUAGCCGACCUGAGAGGGUGAUCGGCCACACUGGAACUGAGACACGGUCCAGACUCCUACGGGAGGCAGCAGUAGGGAAUCUUGAGCAAUGGGCGCAAGCCUGAAGGAGCAAUGCCGCGUGCGUGAUGAAGGGUUUCGGCUCGUAAAACUCUGUUAUUAGGGAAGAACAAAUGUGUAAGUAAAUGUGCACGUCCUGACGGUACCUAAGCAGAAAGCCAGGGCUAACUUCGUG